CCUACGGGAGGCAGCAGUGAGGAAUAUUUGUCAAUGGCCGAGAGCCUGAACCAGCCAAGUCGCGUGAGGGAAUACGGCUCUACGGGUUGUAAACCUCUUUUGUCGGGGAGCAAAUCGAACCACGUGUGGUUCAUUGAGAGUACCCGAAGAAAAAGCAUCGGCUAACUCCGUGCCAGCAGCCGCGGUAAUACGUAGGUGGCAAGCGUUGUCCGGAUUUACUGGGUGUAAAGGGCGUGUAGCCGGGCUGACAAGUCAGAUGUGAAAUCCGGGGGCUCAACCCCCGAACUGCAUUUGAAACGGUUGGUCUAGAGUAACGGAGAGGCAGGCGGAAUUCCGAGUGUAGCGGUGAAAUGCGUAGAUAUCACGCAGAACUCUGAUUGCGAAGGCAGCAUACCGGCGAUCAACUGACGCUCAUGCACGAAAGUGAGGGUAUCGAAAAGGAUUAGAUACCCGGGUAGUC
rnacentral:rRNA from 1 species